CGGGUUGUCAUGCCAAUGGCACUGCCCGGUAGCUAAAUGCGGAAGAGAUAAGUGCUGAAAGCAUCUAAGCACGAAACUUGCCCCGAGAUGAGUUCUCCCUGACCCUUUAAGGGUCCUGAAGGAACGUUGAAGACGACGACGUUGAUAGGCCGGGUGUGUAAGCGCAGCGAUGCGUUGAGCUAACCGGUACUAAUGAACCGUGAGGCUUAACCUUACAACGCCGAAGCUGUU
rnacentral:rRNA from 1 species